AGCUUUUUGAAAAUGAUUUCCUUUCUCAAGGUCAGGGCAGGGAGUAUGAUCUUGUCUUAGGCAUUAAAAUCCAACGGCUGGAUCAAGGUUAGAACAGCCAAGAACACCAAAGGGAACAAUGAGGAGAAGGCUCUGCUAUGUCAGCCCCGCGUCUGUAGUGUCCCUGGGACUUGAAGAGGACUCAUCGCAUUCCAUCCUCUCUGAUGCACAGACCGGUAGGGCCUUCAAGCUUCUUCCCUGCAGCAACGAGAAUUCAUCAAGGCUGAUGACAGCAGCCAGGGCGAGCAAAGGGUGUGGACCUGUGGGAGAACGUGGAGACAACCCUGGAUUGAGGCAGACUAUCAUCGUUGCCUCCUUCGCUGCCCUCAACUCACUUUGGACUUCAGCAUGACCUUGAACUUCUGACCCUUUUGCACCCGGCUCCCGAGUGCUGGAAUUGAAGCAUGUGCUGCCACACAGGAAUCAAUCCUAGAGCUUGGUUUAUACAAGGCAGAAACUUUACCAGCAGGGAUACAGCCCCAGUCACCCGCUGAAUCUCUACUUUAUGCAAUGUUGUGAUCAGAACAAGAUUGUCGAUGUAAGUUAUCCCUUUCACCUUCUCUUUUGUGACGUCAGCAGGACAGACAAGGAAAUCAAGAGCUUAAGGUAACUCUGAGUUGAGAGGCAGAACCAAGAAUGUGAGAUGUCUGGUCUGGAGCUCUUCAACAUUGUCUGAGAUGGCACAAGUCCACCGCACUCAGCUUUCUGGAUGUGAGCUACAGUAAGAAUGAGAAACACUAAACAUAGAUAAUGUUUG
rnacentral:lncRNA from 1 species